ACUCAAAGGAAUUGACGGGGGCCCGCACAAGCAGCGGAGCGUGUGGUUUAAUUCGACGCAACGCGAAGAACCUUACCCAGGUUUGACAUGCAUCUGCAACCCGAUGAAAGUCGGCUCCUUCGAGGGUGAUGCACAGGUGCUGCAUGGUUGUCGUCAGCUCGUGUCGUGAGAUGUUGGGUUAAGUCCCGCAACGAGCGCAACCCUCAUCGGCAGUUACAUGUGUCUGCCGAGACUGCCGGUUUUUGACCGGAGGAAGGCGGGGAUGACGUCAAAUCCGCAUGGCCCUUACACCUGGGGCGACACACACGCUACAAUGGGACGGACAGCGCGCGGCUAGCUCGUAAGAGUACGCAAAUCGUCAAACCGUCCCCCAGUUCAGAUCGAGGGCUGCAACCCGCCCUCGUGAAGGUGGAGUUGCUAGUAACCGCGUAUCAGCCAUGGCGCGGUGAAUACGUUCCCGGGCCUUGUACACACCGCCCGU
rnacentral:rRNA from 1 species